GACCCGGCGGGCACCGAGCGGGGACCGGCCACCGAGCGGGCAGACGGGCGGGAGUACGCUUCACCACCGCGCGUUGUGGCGUGUCGCAGGGCUUUUCUAGAUUUACCUUUUCUUUUUUUUUUUUUUCCCCUUUUUUUCCCUUCUCAAGCGAGGCUGCGUCUGCUCCCCCUUCCCCAAGUUGAGCCUCAGUUCUCAAAGCGUUUUACACGGCAGUCGUCACUUUCCGACCUCACCGACGUGGAAGCGACUUCUCCGUGCUGCACGGGCGACAGCGCCCGGGAACCCCCUCGCCACGUCCAGAGUUCUGCUCAGGAAAACGUGCUUCCCCCCAGCUUGGUCACUCGACAGAGUACCGCGCUGGCUAAAUAAAUGUGCAGUACAUGAACAUGCGAA